rnacentral:rRNA from 1 species
CCUACGGGCGGCAGCAGUAGGGAAUAUUGCUCAAUGGGGGAAACCCUGAAGCAGCAACGCCGCGUGGAGGAUGAAGGUUUUCGGAUCGUAAACUCCUUUUGUUAGAGAAGAUAAUGACGGUAUCUAACGAAUAAGCACCGGCUAACUCCGUGCCAGCAGCCGCGGUAAUACGGAGGGUGCAAGCGUUACUCGGAAUCACUGGGCGUAAAGAGCGCGUAGGCGGGAUAGCAAGUCAGAUGUGAAAUCCUAUGGCUUAACCAGAGAACUGCAUUUGAAACUGUUAUUCUAGAGUAUGGGAGAGGUAGGUGGAAUUCUUGGUGUAGGGGUAAAAUCCGUAGAGAUCAAGAGGAAUACUCAUUGCGAAGGCGACCUGCUAGAACAUAACUGACGCUGAUGCGCGAAAGCGUGGGGAGCAAACAGGAUUAGAUACCCCGGUAGUC